rnacentral:rRNA from 1 species
AUUGAACGCUAGCGGCAGGCCUAACACAUGCAAGUCAAGCGGCAGCGGGACCUUCGGGUCGCCGGCGAGCGGCGGACGGGUGAGUAAUGCCUAGGAAUCUGCCUGUUAGUGGGGGAUAACGCGGGGAAACUCGCGCUAAUACCGCAUACGUCCUACGGGAGAAAGUGGGGGACCCUCGGGCAUCACGCUAACAGAUGAGCCUAGGUCGGAUUAGCUAGUUGGUGGGGUAAAGGCCCACCAAGGCGACGAUCCGUAACUGGUCUGAGAGGAUGAUCAGUCACACUGGAACUGAGACACGGUCCAGACUCCUACGGGAGGCAGCAGUGGGGAAUAUUGGACAAUGGGCGAAAGCCUGAUCCAGCCAUGCCGCGUGUGUGAAGAAGGUCUUCGGAUUGUAAAGCACUUUAAGUUGGGAGGAAGGGCGCUCGGUGAAUACCCAGGCGUCUUGACGUUACCGACAGAAUAAGCACCGGCUAACUUCGUGCCAGCAGCCGCGGUAAUAC